rnacentral:lncRNA from 1 species
UAAUCAGAAACUUCACUGGACCAAUUUUUCAACACUUCAAUAUUUCCUAAUGAAUCCACAUGAAGCUAUUAAUUUCCCUGAGUUGUUGAUAUCUACCUACAUCGUCAUAUAUAUAUAUGUAUAUAUAUAUAUAUAUGUGUGUGUGUGUGUGUGUGUGUGUAUGUAUAUACAUAUAUAUGUAUGUGUAUAUAUAUAUAUAUAAUGACUUCACUGUGACUUGAUUUAUUUGUUUUUCCUUGUAAUUUUUUUCAUUAACCUGUGAUGUCUUUAAAAUUCUCUUUUACAUUUGAUGUCUCCAAGUGCACAUGGAAGAGCUGUUGUCUAGUAUUAGUCUUUCAAGCUGCUUCUGUGGCGAAAGAAUGUAGAUUGUGCAGUACCCACCAUUGGCAAUGUAGAUUGAUGUUCUGAAUGGUCAAGUACAUUAAACUUAUCUGUGACUGCUUGAGAAUAAUUUACAUUCCUAAAGAGCAGAUUUCUAUAUUUAUCCUUUUAGACUGGGUUUGUUUUGUUUGUUUGUUUAGGGUUGGGGGUUUUUGUUUGUAUUCUGUAUUUGUAUUUUGUUUGUUUUUCUCAAAUAAUCCAUUUCUGGGGACCAUAUAACAUUAAAA